ACGAACGCUGGCGGCGUGCUUAACACAUGCAAGUCGAACGGUGAAGCGCCUUCCUUUUUGGUGGGUGUGGAUGAGUGGCGAACGGGUGAGUAACACGUGAGUAACCUGCCCCCUUCUUCUGGAUAACCGCAUGAAAGUGUGUCUAAUACGGGAUAUUCUGGGUCUGUCGCAUGAUGGGUCUGGGAAAGAUAUUGUUUCGGUGGGGGAUGGGCUCGCGGCCUAUCAGCUUGUUGGUGGGGUGAUGGCCUACCAAGGCGGUGACGGGUAGCCGGCCUGAGAGGGUGGACGGUCACACUGGGACUGAGACACGGCCCAGACUCCGACGGGAGGCAGCAGGGGGGAAUAUUGCACAAUGGGCGAAAGCCUGAUGCAGCGACGCCGCGGGAGGGAUGGAGGCCUUCGGGUUGUGAACCUCUUUCGCCAGUGAAGCAGGCCUGCCUCGUUUGUGGGUGGGUUGACGGUAGCUGGAUAAGAAGCGCCGGCUAACUACGUG
rnacentral:rRNA from 1 species